GACAGAGGGUGCAAACGUUGUUCGGAAUUACUGGGCGUAAAGCGCGUGUAGGCGGCCCUGCAAGUCGGAUGUGAAAUCCCACGGCUCAACCAUGGAAGUGCAUUCGAAACUGCAGAGCUAGAGUCCUGGAGAGGAAGGUGGAAUGCUUGGUGUAGAGGUGAAAUUCGUAGAUAUCAAGCGGAACACCGGUGGCGAAGGCGGCCUUCUGGACAGUGACUGACGCUGAGACGGACGAAAGCGUGGGGAGCAAACAGGG
rnacentral:rRNA from 1 species